ensembl:lncRNA
CCAGCUGAGGCCUCCAGGCAUCUGGGAGAGACAUUUACCCUUAAGGAAAGUAGGGAACAUAUUAUUUGCCUUGGGUUUCUCCAGAUCCACAUGCAUUUUAGGAAAGUUAAGGCACUUUCUUUAAUACAGGAGCCCAUUACAAAUAACAACUCAAGGAGAAAAAGGCUAUCCACAUCUCUUGAACAGAAGAAAAUGCCGUUGAAUAAAUAAUACUAUGGAACUAAAGAAAUGCACCUAAAAUCCCCUUCUUAAACACGCCACGAAAGAGGAAAGGAAUAUUCAUUUCCUGUAGAAGAGAAUUAGAGCUUACUGAAGACACACUCUCAACCAGGAGGUCUCUGAUGUGGGCUUACUAGUAAGAAACACAUCUUCACAGGUAAUACAACUACAUGUGAGUAACUGUGGCCUGCCAUACAUUGUUUCAUCAAUUUAAUUAUCAAUGUAUCAAAUUAUUUAUUUAUCUAGCAAAUAUUUAUUGAGCACUUACUCUGCAACAGAAUCUGAACCAAGCCCUGGGCUCAUUCAGAAAUAAAUGAUCGGGGCGUUUGGUUCUAAAUUGAUGAAACAAGUCUUUGAGCUUAUUGCCUCCUCAUCCUGAGCUGGGCAGAUCCCCAUCCUCUCUUGAAGUUCAUGAAAGGAUAUCUACCUUGUGACACACAGAAAUAGCCCUGCAAAUGGAAUCUAACUGAAGGUGAAUGAGUAUUCUUGCCUCAGUUAAUAUAUCUUCAUAGUUAGACAGUUCCAAAGCAAUAAUGUGCACAACUAAGACACGCUUAUUGACCAUGUACUUACCAUCUAUUUGGCAAAUGCUGUUUAUGAAGUUUUUAAGAAACAAGUAUUGAUCCAAAAUUUCCCUUGCAUUUAAUAUUCUGUCAUUCUGCAAGGCCACUAUUAAGUUUGAUGUACAUAUACAAUUACCUGUCUAUCUAAAGAGUUUCAGUUGCCCUAACUCUUGGGCACCACACCAUGAUUAAAUGCAUACAAGCAACAAGUUCUUGAUUUGGGCGGCUGGAAAACCACUGUGGCAUAAGAUCAAUAGUUAUAUCACUUAGCAAAGAAUUUCUUUGUCAUUGCUUUCUAUAAUCCUCAAAGGUCCUGAUAAACACUUAAAACUAGAUUUGUUCUUUCUUUUGUGCACAUGUUGUUCAUACAAACGAAAGCCAAAUUUACCUAGGAAGAUUCCAGAGGACCCAUAUAGGACUGAAGAUUGUUUAAAUUCUGGUAGAGCUCAUGAAAUACAUUUUCAACUGGUGGGAUAUCCUCCUCAUCAGACUCCCAAAUUCUUUAGAGCAAGAAACAUUAACAAGCAUAAGUGAAAAACAAAAACAAAAACAAAAAAAACCUGUAUGAAGAUUUGAGAAAAUAGUAUAAGCACAGGAUGAGGAAGACUUAAUACUAUAGUUGUUAGUGUAAAAAAAACAGGAGAUUUUAUUAAACAAAAAUGUAAUAGGCAAAUUUGAUGGACCUUUUAGCAGAAAUGUUUGUAUGAACUGAAUUCUAGUAUCCAGAUCAUGAGAGUAAUAAUCAUUUUUCUGAACUUUGCGUAAGACACACAUGGGGUAUGUUGGACAUGCUAUGUGCCCAUUUUAAAAGAUACUUUGAAAAACAGGUGAGUGACCAGAUG